AAAGGGGGCUUCUGUCAUUAAGUGGCAUGUUAAGUGGCACACGUAGGGCAUCUCUAUUGUUGUACAUGUGGAACCAACAUCAAGAGAUUUUGGAAGCGUAAUUUUUGCUGCCUGGGUUGCUAGUGAUGUUGGUCCUGGCGCCCUA
rnacentral:snRNA from 1 species